AUAAAAUGCUAACCUCCCCUGUUAUAGUAAUGGUGAGAGGUUAGUAUGUCUUGGGGGUAUGAUAUAAAAUGCUAACCUCCCCUGUUAUAGUAAUGGUGAGAGGUUAGUAUGUCUUGGGGGUAUGAUAUAAAAUGCUAACCUCCCCUGUUAUAGUAAUGGGGAGAGGUUAGCAUGUCUUGGGGGUAUGAUAUAAAAUGCUAACCUCCCCUGUUAUAGUAAUGGUGAGAGGUUAGCAUGUCUGGGGGGGUAUGAUAUAAAAUGCUAACAUCCCCUGUUAUUGUAAUGGUGAGAGGUUAGCAUGUCUUGGGGGUAUGAUAUUUGAGCAUUUGUAACUUUCUCAUCAUUAUUCACAAUUCAUUCAGGACUACCUGUAAUCAUCAUAGCAUCCACAUUACAGUGCCUUCGGAAAGUAUUCAGACCCCUUGACUUUUUCCAUAUUCUGUUACAUUACAGCCGUAUUCUAAAAUUGAUUAAAUAAAUACAAAUCCUCAUCAAUCUACACAAUACCCUAUAAUGACAAAAAGAGAAAAGGUUUUUAGAAUGUUUGCAAAUGUAUUAAAAAUAAAAAACUGAAAUACCUUAUUUACAUAAGUAUUCAGGCCCUUUGCUAUGAGCCUCAAAAUUGAGCUCAGGUGCAUCCUGUUUCCAUUGAUCAUUCUUGAGAUGUUUCUACAACUUGAUUGGAGUCCACCUGUGGUAAAUUCAAUUGAUUGGACAUGAUUUGCUAAGACACACACCUGUCUAUAUAAUGCCCCACAGUUGACAGUGCAUGUCCGAGCAAAAACCAAGCCAUGAGGCAAAGGAAUUGUCCAUAGAGCUCCGAGGCAAAGCAAUUGUCCAUAGAGCUCCGAGACAGGAUUGUGUCAAGGCACAGAUCUGGGAAAGAGUACCAAAAAAUAUCUGCAGCAUUGAAGGUCCCCAAGAACAUAGUGGCCUCCAUGAAUCUUAAAUGAAAGAAGAUUGAAACCACCAUGACUCUUCCUAGAGCUGGCCGCCCUGCCAAACUGAGCAAUCGGGAGAGAAGUGUGGCGCACAAUUGGCCCAGCGUCGUCCGGGUUAGGGGAGGGUUUGGCCCGGGGUAGGCCGUCAUUGUAAAAUAAGAAUUUGGUCUUGACUCACUUGCCUAGUUGAAUAAAGUUUUUUUUUUUUUUAAAUAUA